rnacentral:misc_RNA from 1 species
GUGAAUCAUCAAAUUUUUGAACGCAAAUUGCACUCUCUGGUAUUCCGGAGAGUAUUCCUGUUUGAGGGUCAGUUUAAAUAAAAAUCGGUGUGGUUGCUGCCUUUCGUGGUGACGCACCGGAUUUGGGUCGUCUUGCCUGGGUUAAGUGACCUAAAAUUUUGCAUUGGUUUUUUCGAAGGUUUUUAAAUGUAUUUACGUACGUUUUCGAUAUAUAAUUUUU